GUGAGGAAUAUUGCGCAAUGGAGGCAACUCUGACGCAGCCAUGCCGCGUGCAGGAAGAAGGCGCUACGCGUUGUAAACUGCUUUUAACCGGGAAGAAACCCCAGGACGUGUCCUGGGUUGACGGUACCGGAGGAAUAAGCACCGGCUAACUUCGUGCCAGCAGCCGCGGUAAUACGAAGGGUGCAAGCGUUAUCCGGAUUCAUUGGGUUUAAAGGGUGCGUAGGCGGAGCGUUAAGUCAGUGGUGAAAUCCUGCAGCUUAGCUGUAGACUUGCCAUUGAUACUGGCGCUCUUGAGUGCGCUUGAAGUGGGCGGAAUGUGCCGUGUAGCGGUGAAAUGCUUAGAUAUGGCACAGAACACCAAUUGCGAAGGCAGCUCACUAAGGCGAUACUGACGCUGAGGCACGAAAGCGUGGGGAUCGAACAGGAUUAGAUACCCGGGUAGUCC
rnacentral:rRNA from 1 species